AGCGAACGCUGGCGGCAGGCUUAACACAUGCAAGUCGAGCGGGCACUUCGGUGUCAGCGGCAGACGGGUGAGUAACACGUGGGAACGUGCCCUUCGGUUCGGAAUAACUCAGGGAAACUUGAGCUAAUACCGGAUACGCCCUUUGGGGGAAAGGUUUACUGCCGAAGGAUCGGCCCGCGUCUGAUUAGCUAGUUGGUGGGGUAAUGGCCUACCAAGGCGACGAUCAGUAGCUGGUCNGAGAGGAUGAUCAGCCACACUGGGACUGAGACACGGCCCAGACUCCUACGGGAGGCAGCAGGUGGGGAAUAUUGGACAAUGGGCGCAAGCCUGAUCCA
rnacentral:rRNA from 1 species